rnacentral:rRNA from 1 species
UACGGAGGGGGCUAGCGUUGUUCGGAAUUACUGGGCGUAAAGCGCGCGUAGGCGGAUCUGCAAGUCGGGGGUGAAAUCCCGAGGCUCAACCUCGGAACUGCCUUCGAUACUGCGGGUCUCGAGUCCGGGGGAGGUGAGUGGAAUUCCUAGUGUAGAGGUGAAAUUCGUAGAUAUUAGGAAGAACACCAGUGGCGAAGGCGGCUCACUGGCCCGGUACUGACGCUGAGGCGCGAAAGCGUGGGGAGCAAACAGG